GGGUCGUUAGCUCAGUUGGUAGAGCAGUUGACUUUUAAUCAAUUGGUCGCAGGUUCGAAUCCUG
rnacentral:tRNA from 4 species